AACGGCCGCGGUAUCCUAACCGUGCAAAGGUAGCAUAAUCACUUGCCUAUUAAUUGUAGGCUAGAAUGAAUGGGUUAACGAAAUAAAGACUGUCUCAAUUAAUCACCUAAAAAUUACUAUCUAUCUGAAGAAGAGUAGAUAAUCUCGAAGGACAAGAAGACCCUAUAGAGCUUAAUUUUAAUUAUAGAGCUACACUAUAAAAAUAUUCGGUUGGGGCGACCCAGGGCUAAUCAAUCACCCACUACAUAAAAGAUAAAUUAAUCAAGUAAUUGACCCCUAAAAGAUCAUAAGAACAAGCUACCUUAGGGAUAACAGGCUAAUCCCACUCAAGAGUCCUUAUCAACAGUGGGGUUUGGCACCUCGAUGUUGGCUUAGG
rnacentral:rRNA from 1 species